rnacentral:lncRNA from 1 species
UGCGUCGGUCUAUCUAGAUCAGUCAUCAUCCUCAUGAUGAUACUAUGACUAGGAGCAUUUUAGGAAUCAAAUACAUGUCUCUAAUUCUUAACUCUUUGAGAAUAUGUAUCAAAAAUUAAUUUCAUGGACGAUUCAAGAACACAUCACACUUGAAUGAAAAAUAAACUUACUAUUUUAUUGAUCAUUGAAAGAACAAUGCC